GUUUCCAUAGUCUAGUGGUUAGGACGGCGGUCUCAUAUGAAAAUAUGACAGUUCCUAUUCUAAAGGAAUUGGUAAUCCGCAAGCACGAGUUCGAUUCUCGUUGGAAGCA